GAUGAACGCUGGCGGCGUGCCUAACACAUGCAAGUCGAACGUGAACCCGAUUUCGGUUGGGUGAAAGUGGCGAACGGGUGAGUAACACGUUGGUGACCUGCCCCGAAGGGGGGAUAACUCUGGGAAACCAGAGCUAAUACCCCGGAUGUUUAAGGGUUUAGACGCCUUAGACUAAAGCUCAGGCGCUUCGGGAGGGGCCUGCGGGCUAUCAGCUAGUUGGUGAGGUAAAGGCUUACCAAGGCGAAGACGGCUAGGGGGCGUGAGAGCGUGACCCCCCACAAGGGAACUGAGAAACGGUCCCUACUCCUACGGGAGGCUG
rnacentral:rRNA from 1 species